UGGGGAAUUUUGGACAAUGGGCGAAAGCCUGAUCCAGCAAUGCCGCGUGUGUGAAGAAGGCCUUCGGGUUGUAAAGCACUUUUGUCCGGAAAGAAAUCCUUGGCUCUAAUACAGUCGGGGGAUGACGGUACCGGAAGAAUAAGCACCGGCUAACUACGUGCCAGCAGCCGCGGUAAUACGUAGGGUGCAAGCGUUAAUCGGAAUUACUGGGCGUAAAGCGUGCGCAGGCGGUUUGCUAAGACCGAUGUGAAAUCCCCGGGCUCAACCUGGGAACUGCAUUGGUGACUGGCAGGCUAGAGUAUGGCAGAGGGGGGUAGAAUUCCACGUGUAGCAGUGAAAUGCGUAGAGAUGUGGAGGAAUACCGAUGGCGAAGGCAGCCCCCUGGGGCCAAAUACUGACGCUCAUGCACGAAAGCGUGGGGAGCAAACAGGAUUAGAUACCCUGGUAGUCCACGCCCUAAACGAUGUCAACUAGUUGUUGGGGAUUCAUUUCCUUAGUAACGUAGCUAACGCGUGAAGUUGACCGCCUGGGGAGUACGGUCGCAAGAUUAAAACUCAAAUGAAUUGACGGGGUCAUAGCUGUUUCCU
rnacentral:rRNA from 1 species